UUAGUGGCGAACGGGUGAGUAACACGUGGGCAAUCUGCCCUGCACUCUGGGACAAGCCCUGGAAACGGGGUCUAAUACCGGAUAACACCCUCGGGGGCAUCCCCGUGGGUUGAAAGCUCCGGCGGUGCAGGAUGAGCCCGCGGCCUAUCAGCUUGUUGGUGGGGUGAUGGCCUACCAAGGCGACGACGGGUAGCCGGCCUGAGAGGGCGACCGGCCACACUGGGACUGAGACACGGCCCAGACUCCUACGGGAGGCAGCAGUGGGGAAUAUUGCACAAUGGGCGAAAGCCUGAUGCAGCGACGCCGCGUGAGGGAUGACGGCCUUCGGGUUGUAAACCUCUUUCAGCAGGGAAGAAGCGAAAGUGACGGUACCUGCAGAAGAAGCGCCGGCUAACUACGUGCCAGCAGCCGCGGUAAUACGUAGGGCGCAAGCGUUGUCCGGAAUUAUUGGGCGUAAAGAGCUCGUAGGCGGCUUGUCACGUCGGUUGUGAAAGCCCGGGGCUUAACCCCGGGUCUGCAGUCGAUACGGGCAGGCUAGAGUGUGGUAGGGGAGAUCGGAAUUCCUGGUGUAGCGGUGAAAUGCGCAGAUAUCAGGAGGAACACCGGGUGGCGAAGGCGGAUCUCUGGGCCAUUACUGACGC
rnacentral:rRNA from 1 species